rnacentral:rRNA from 1 species
UACGUAGGUGGCAAGCGUUGUCCGGAAUCACUGGGCGUAAAGCGCGCGCAGGCGGCGAUCUACGUCUGGGGUGAAAUCCCGGGGCUUAACCCCGGGCCUGCAGUGGAUACGGGCAGGCUGGAGGCAGGCAGGGGAGAGCGGAAUUCCCGGUGUAGCGGUGAAAUGCGCAGAUAUCGGGAGGAACACCGGUGGCGAAGGCGGUUCUCUGGGCCUGUACUGACGCUGAGGAGCGAAAGCGUGGGGAGCGAACAGG